rnacentral:lncRNA from 1 species
GGGGACUGGGCUCAAAAACAUGCACAGCAGAAUUCUCACAACUUGUGCAGCUGAACUAAGUCCUACGCAUGCAGACUACCCGACCAAGGACCUACGAAACACCUCAUCAAGGGUACCCAGGUUCCGACAUAUCCAAGUAUCUAAGUGUCAGAGAGGUACAUAGGGUGGUGCUAUCAACACUCCAAUAUAACAUAUUCCACAUCCCAACUCAUAUACCAAAACCAUAUCCCAAAUUCCAAAUAUUCCAAUGUACCCAAUCCCUUAUACAUAGACAUCUGGCCAAUAAUAGCGUCCAUAACUCAAUACCCAUGAUAUAUACGUAAUAUAGAUAUCAAACUCUCAAAAGCAUAAAUUCCAUAACCCAAAAU